rnacentral:rRNA from 2 species
AGUGAACGCUGGCGGCGUGCUUAACACAUGCAAGUCGAACGAGAACGGAUUAUAGCUUGCUAUAAUUGUCAGCUAAGUGGCGCACGGGUGAGUAAUGUAUAGAUAACCUGCCCUUAAGAAAGGAAUAACAGUUGGAAACGACUGCUAAUGCCCUAUAUGCCUUUAAUACAUAAGUAUGCAAGGGAAACGCUUUAGUGCUUAAGGAUGGGUCUGUAUGGUAUCAGCUUGUUGGUGAGGUAAUGGCUCACCAAGGCUAUGACGCCUAACUGGUUUGAGAGGAUGAUCAGUCACACUGGAACUGAGACACGGUCCAGACUCCUACGGGAGGCAGCAGUGGGGAAUAUUGCACAAUGGACGAAAGUCUGAUGCAGCAACGCCGCGUGGAGGAUGACACAUUUCGGUGCGUAAACUCCUUUUAUAUAGGAAGAUAAUGACGGUACUAUAUGAAUAAGCACCGGCUAACUCCGUGCCAGCAGCCGCGGUAAUACGGAGGGUGCAAGCGUUACUCGGAAUCACUGGGCGUAAAGAGCGUGUAGGCGGGUAUAUAAGUCAGAAGUGAAAUCCAAUAGCUCAACUAUUGAACUGCUUUUGAAACUGUAUACCUAGAAUGUGGGAGAGGUAGAUGGAAUUUCUGGUGUAGGGGUAAAAUCCGUAGAGAUCAGAAGGAAUACCGAUUGCGAAGGCGAUCUACUGGAACAUUAUUGACGCUGAGACGCGAAAGCGUGGGGAGCAAACA